AUAGCCUUUAGAAAUGAAGAUUAAUGCUCCAUGGUAUUGAUUAAUCGCAUGAUUAGUUAAUUAAAGAUUUAUUGGUAAAAGAUGGCUAUGCGUCCUAUUAGUUAGAUGGUAAGGUAACGGCUUACCAUGACAUCGAUAGGUAGGGGUCCUGAGAGGGAGAUCCCCCACACUGGUACUGAGACACGGACCAGACUCCUACGGGAGGCAGCAGUGAGGAAUAUUGGGCAAUGGAGGCAACUCUGACCCAGCCAUGCCGCGUGCAGGAAGACGGCCCUAUGGGUUGUAAACUGCUUUUAUACAGGAAGAAACACUGGUAUGUAUACCAGCUUGACGGUACUGUAAGAAUAAGGACCGGCUAACUCCGUGCCAGCAGCCGCGGUAAUACGGAGGGUCCGAGCGUUAUCCGGAAUCAUUGGGUUUAAAGGGUCCGCAGGCGGUCAAUUAAGUCAGAGGUGAAAUCCCAUAGCUCAACUAUGGAACUGCCUUUGAUACUGGUUGACUUGAGUCAUAUGGAAGUAGAUAGAAUGUGUAGUGUAGCGGUGAAAUGCAUAGAUAUUACACAGAAUACCGAUUGCGAAGGCAGUCUACUACGUAUGUACUGACGCUGAGGGACGAAAGCGUGGGGAGCGAACAGGAUUAGAUACCCUGGUAGUCCACGCCGUAAACGAUGGAUACUAGUUGUUGGGCAUUAGCUCAGUGACUAAGCGAAAGUGAUA
rnacentral:rRNA from 1 species